rnacentral:rRNA from 1 species
UACGUAGGGGGCAAGCGUUGUCCGGAAUCAUUGGGCGUAAAGCGCGCGUAGGCGGCCCGGUAAGUCCGUUGUGAAAGUCAAAGGCUCAACCUUUGAACGCCGAUGGAUACUGCCGGGCUAGAGUCCGGAAGAGGCGAGUGGAAUUCCUGGUGUAGCGGUGGAAUGCGCAGAUAUCAGGAGGAACACCAAUAGCGAAGGCAGCUCGCUGGGACGGUACUGACGCUGAGUCGCGAAGACGUGGGGAGCGAACAGG